UAGGGAAUCUUCCGCAAUGGACGAAAGUCUGACGGAGCAACGCCGCGUGAGUGAAGAAGGAUUUCGGUUCGUAAAACUCUGUUGUUAGGGAAGAAAAAAUGUAUAGUAACUAUAUACAAAAGAGACGGUACCUAACCAGAAAGCCACGGCUAACUACGUGCCAGCAGCCGCGGUAAUACGUAGGUGGCAAGCGUUGUCCGGAAUUAUUGGGCGUAAGGCGCGCGCAGGUGGUUUAGAAAGUCUGAUGUGAAAGCCCACGGCUCAACCGUGGAGGGUCAUUGGAAACUAAUAAACUUGAGUGCAGGAGAGAAAAGUGGAAUUCCUAGUGUAGCGGUGAAAUGCGUAGAGAUUAGGAGGAACACCGGUGGCGAAGGCGGCUUUUUGGCCUGCAACUGACACUGAGGCGCGAAAGCGUGGGGAGCAAACAGG
rnacentral:rRNA from 1 species